rnacentral:rRNA from 1 species
CAGUCGCCACGGUAAUACAGAGGAGGCAAGCGUUAUUCGGAAUCAUUGGGCUUAAAGCGCGUGCAGGCGGCUGCGUAAGUGUCCUGUGAAAUCCCGCGGCUCAACCGCGGAACGGCAGGGCAAACUGCGCGGCUUGAGGUCGGUAGGGGUGCUCGGAACUCUAGGUGGAGCGGUGAAAUGCGUAGAUAUCUAGAGGAACGCCGGAGGCGAAAGCGGAGCACUGGGCCGAAUCUGACGCUGAGACGCGAAAGCGUGGGGAGCAAACAGGAUUAGAGACCCCCGUAGUCCCUGUCUCUUAUAC